CCCUGACAGCAGGAGCUGCAAUGAGAAAGCUCAGCCCUAGAGAGUGAGGUAUCUAGGACACCUCAAGCUGACAGGACAGCUCAGCCUUGGGGGUAUCCCAAAUACCUUGACUGGCUUAGGACAGAUCAUCCCUGGAGGGGAAGGUCUCCCAGAUAUCUUGAGCUGCUAGGACAGCUCUGAUGGCUGGAUCUGCAAUGAGACAGCUCAGCCCUGGAAGGGAAGAUGUGUCAACUGGAGUUGGGUACUUUACAGUGAAUUAUUUGUGGAACUUUGUGAAAGUCUCCAUAUAUUGCAAAAAGAAGCUUCUUUGAUGAGGGUUGUUGCUGAAGUCAUUUUGCAUCUUCAUAGGAAUAGAAACCCUAUCUAACAAACAAAUCUUAAUUGUGAUGGGUGAAGAAACAAGAUAUUAGGCCUGUGAGAUGUAAAUAUUCCAUUGAUUUUGUGGAAAAUCUUCUCACUUAUAAGAAGACCAUAAAAUGGGAGAGGCACCAUGUAGAUCAGUUGUUAAGAGGACUUCUUGUUU